GUCUAUGGCCAUACCACCUUGACCACGCCUGGUCUCAUCUGAUCCUGGAAGCUAAGCAGGGUCAGGCCUGGUUAGGACUUGGAUGGGAGACACGGGCAUGUCAAAUCCUAUCAGGAACACCAGACACAUGAGUU
rnacentral:rRNA from 1 species